UUGAAACACGGACCAAGGAGUCUAACAUGUGCGCAAGUCGUUGGGUCUCUUGACGAAACCUAAAGGCGGAAUCAAAGUGAAAGGUGACUCUUUCGCUUACCUUAGGGAGGAUGGGAGUCGUUCCCGCGCCUCGCGGCGCGGGGCCUCCCCGCACUCCCGGGGCGUUUCUUACUCACAGCGAGUCGGAGCGCACCCAGAGCGUACACGUUAGGACCCGAAAGAUGGUGAACUAUGCCCGGCCAGGACGAAGCCAGGGGAAACCCUGGUGGAGGUCCGUAGCGAUUCUGACGUGCAAAUCGAUCGUCGGAGCUGGGUAUAGGGGCGAAAGACUAAUCGAACCAUCUAGUAGCUGGUUCCUUCCGAAGUUUCCCUCAGGAUAGCUGGUCGC
rnacentral:rRNA from 1 species